UCAUCUUUUCCAGAAAAAUCCAUUUUGCUAGUUUUCAUUUUCUUGUACCCAAAAUCAAAAUUACAAUCAUCCUAAUCAUCAUCAUCAUCUGAACCCUCCAACAAAGUGACUCUAUCAUUAUAUUCAUUGCCACCACUUCCACUUCCACUAGCUCCAUUCUUUGAACGAUGACAUCCCUUGUACUGGUUAUACAAAGCAUACAAUAAUUUCAUGACCUCAGUUUUUGUGGCUUCAACCUUAACAGAGUCAUACAAGAUACCAAUACAAUGUACAACAAACUCCAACUUAUACCUAGGAUCAAGCACAACUGCUACAAUCAAAAUCUUGUUCAUUUUAUCAACAUUACCCCAAUACUUGUCAAAUUUAAUCUUCAUG
rnacentral:lncRNA from 1 species